UGCAACUGCUUGGCCAAUUCCAAUUUAGAAGAGAAUCAGUUCCAGGUCUCGCCUCUGAAAGGAGCCUUGAGCCUGCUGGAGCAAAAACAGAGAGGACCCUGAGACUACGUGGAGGGGGAGAUGGGCUCUGCUGAGCUCAGACAUCCAGCCGUCCCUGCCAAGGUGCCAGGCAUGUGAGUGUUGGACCUCUGACACAAGCUCAGAGUCAGCUGAAGUCCACCAACCCCAGGUGAAGUGACAAGGAGCAGAAGAAUUGCCCAAAUUCCUGACCUUCAACAUGGUGAGAUAUGAUAAAACGGUUGUUGUUCUGAAUUGCUAAGUUUUGAGGUAGUUAUCAAAGAGAAAUGGGGUAGCAAAAUUAACCAGUUGCCUGAUCUUGACAAUAGAAUAAGACAAAAGAACAAAUAACUCAGUACGAUAGUGAACAGA
rnacentral:lncRNA from 1 species